GACGAACGCUGGCGGCGUGCUUAACACAUGCAAGUCGAACGGUGAAGCUCCAGCUUGCUGGAGUGGAUCAGUGGCGAACGGGUGAGUAACACGUGAGCAACCUGCCCCUGACUCUGGAAUAAGCGCUGGAAACGGCGUCUAAUACUGGAUACGAGAAGGGUCCGCAUGGGCACUUUCUGGAAAGUUUUUCGGUUGGGGAUGGGCUCGCGGCCUAUCAGCUUGUUGGUGAGGUAAUGGCUCACCAAGGCGACGACGGGUAGCCGGCCUGAGAGGGCGACCGGCCACACUGGGACUGAGACACGGCCCAGACUCCUACGGGAGGCAGCAGUGGGGAAUAUUGCACAAUGGGCGAAAGCCUGAUGCAGCGACGCCGCGUGAGGGAUGACGGCCUUCGGGUUGUAAACCUCUUUCAGCAGGGAAGAAGCGAAAGUGACGGUACCUGCAGAAAAAGCACCGGCUAACUACGUG
rnacentral:rRNA from 1 species